rnacentral:rRNA from 1 species
GACGAACGCUGGCGGCGUGCUUAACACAUGCAAGUCGAACGGAAAGGCCCUGCUUGCAGGGUACUCGAGUGGCGAACGGGUGAGUAACACGUGGGUGAUCUGCCCUGCACUUCGGGAUAAGCCUGGGAAACUGGGUCUAAUACCGGAUAGGAGCCAUUUUUAGUGUGAUGGUUGGAAAGUUUUUUCGGUGUAGGAUGAGCUCGCGGCCUAUCAGCUUGUUGGUGGGGUAAUGGCCUACCAAGGCGGCGACGGGUAGCCGGCCUGAGAGGGUGGACGGCCAGCUGGGCUGGGAGAGGGGGCCGCGACAGGGGUGAGGGGGGGGGGGGGGGAGUAUGGCGGGGGGGGGGGUGGCGGGGGUGCGCGACGGCGGGGGGGUGAGGGCUGCGCUCGGGUUGGAUACUCUUGGCGCGGGGGAUUAAUUUUUGCGUGACGGUACCUAGAAAAGAAGAACCGGGAGACUAGGUGCCGGCAGCCGGGGUAAGUAGCGGAGUAACAAACGACUGACC